AACGGCCGUACCAUGCUGAAUAUACCGGUUCUCGUUAGAUCACCGAAGUUAAGCAUCAUUGGGCGCGGUCAGUACUUGGGUGGGUGACCUCCUGGGAACACUGCGUGCCGUU
rnacentral:rRNA from 1 species